CCUACGGGAGGCAGCAGUAGGGAAUAUUGCUCAAUGGGGGAAACCCUGACGCAGCAACGCCGCGUGGAGGAUGAAGGUUUUCGGAUUGUAAACUCCUUUUGUUAGAGAAGAAAAUGACGGUAUCUAACGAAUAAGCACCGGCUAACUCCGAGCCAGCAGCCGCGGUAAUACGGAGGGGGCAAGCGUUAUUCGGAAUCAUUGGGCGUAAAGGGCGCGUAGGCGGGUUUGCAAGUCAGGUGUGAAAUCCCAAGGCUUAACCAUAGAACUGCUUUUGAAACUGUUAUUCUAGAGUAGAGGAGGGGUAGGUGGAAUUCUUGGUGUAGGGGUGAAAUGCGUAGAGAUCAAGAGGAAUACUCAUGGCGAAGGCGACCUGCUAGAACAUAACUGACGCUGAGGCACGAAAGCGUGGGGAGCAAACAGGAUUAGAUACCCCAGUAGUC
rnacentral:rRNA from 1 species